AGUAGAAGACUGUUCUUUAGGUAUGUUAAAACUGUCUCUAGAUGUUCCCAAGAUGGCCGAAUAGGAACAGCUCCGGUCUACAGCUCCCAGCGUGAGCGACGCAGAAGACGGGUGAUUUCUGCAUUUCCAACUGAGAUUGUUGCCAGCAAAGGAGGUUUUGAAAUGGUCACCAAAGAGAAGAAAUGGUCUAAAGUGGGUAGUCGCUUGGGAUAUCUGCCAGGAAAAGGAACUGGGUCUCUUUUGAAGUCACAUUAUGAAAGAAUUCUCUACCCAUAUGAGCUUUUCCAGUCUGGUGUGAGCCUUAUGGUGAGAUGCAUUAUUCUUUUUAGAAAAAGUUGAUAAAUCCAGUUUGCCCAAGUACAAACUUUAGACUGUGUUUAACCCAAGUUAGCAGGCACCAAAAUUUGGGGAAGCAAAGUGUAUAUCAUAGUGUAAAAAUCAUAGCUGUUUUUGAUGGUUUACAAGAUAAAGAAUAAUGGAA
rnacentral:lncRNA from 10 species